GAUGAAGAACGCAGCGAAAUGCGAUAAGUAGUGUGAAUUGCAGAAUUCAGUGAAUCAUCGAAUCUUUGAACGCCCAUUGCGCCCGCCAGCACUCUGGCGGGCAUGCCUGUUCGAGCGUCAUUUCAACCAUCAAGCCCCAGGCUUGCGUUGGAGCCCUGCGGCUGCCGCAGCCUCCUAAAAGCAGUGGCGGGCUCGCUAUCACACCGAGUGCAGUAGAUUACUCUUCGCUCAGGGCGUGCAGCGGGUUCCGGCCGUGAAACCCCCUACUUUUAAAGGUUGACCUCGGAUCAGGUAGGAAUACCCGCUGAACUUAAGCAUAUCAAUAAGCGGAGGA
rnacentral:misc_RNA from 1 species